rnacentral:lncRNA from 1 species
ACAACAAGACCAAAUACCACAAACACCACCCGACAUUCUUCUUCUUCUUCCAGCCGAGAGGAAACCCAGAAAACUCCAGCGAUCCAGCGAAAUUAUAGCCCAGACGCGAGUCCAUCGCACAUCCUCUCCUCUCUCCUCAUCGUUUUCGUACAAGAGCAUUCUAGAAUCUACAGGUGUCUCCAUCUCAUGUGUUCUUCGUCCUUCCUCCAAAAUCGGACGGCUCCCUUCUUUAAUCCGUUGAGAAUGGUACAAAUUCCAGUCGUUCGACCUUAUCCUUUGAGAGGAAUUUGAAUUUGAAAUUCGAAAUGGAAUCCGGUUUCCCCCCUUUUGAAUUCCAAUUUUUCCUCUUAUAAAUAUCCAUCUCUUUUACUGUUUUAGAGGGUUUUUUUUGGGGGGGGCUUCCACUGAUACAGAGAAAUAGCUUAAAGGAAAAUAUAUAAAAAUACAUACGAAACACACUUCAAAGUAGAGAAGAUAACUGAUUCGAACUCCAGUUCCUAUCUUGUUCGAUCAAAAAGCUUCUUGAAGGCUCUUUGAUUGUGGUGGUGGAAAGCUUUUUCAACUUGUCGUCUCAGUUUCGCUGCUCCUAAGAAGGUAAUACUUCUGUUUUUUUUUCUUUUGUUACAGCUUCUCUUUGUGUUCUAGAUUUUGUUUCGUGCUAUGUAGAAUCUCAUCGCCUAGUGAAGUAGUCUAUUUGUUUAUGCUCGUUUCAAGUAUUACUUAGUUUGAAGUGUAUUUCUCUUGUGCUUUCAGGCUAUUUCUUGUUUAGCCCCGAUUUCUAGCUUAGUGCCUUGCUUGUUUAUAUGUUAGUUGCUACAUAUCUUUGACCAUUGGUUUUUACAAGAAAAGUGUAAUUUCAAUAUAUAUGUUUGCUCUAGCCUCUUUAUGUGAUUAGGAUGUGGAAAUCAGUGUGUGAUUGGUGAUAAACCUCUGUAAAGAACCAUUGGUUUGUUCUCUUCGGUUUUCCGAUUCUUGUUUGUUCUUGUUGAUUAACUGUUAGACUUCCUAAAUGUCUGGUAGGCUGUGUGGUUAAAUAGCCAUGGUUUCAUAGGUUUAUAUAGUAUUCAUAUUUGUCACCUAAUUUAUCCCUUGCUUCUCUUAAAUUUAAAGAGUUAAAAUUCAUCCUUUGUAUUUAGUGUGAGUGUUGUUUUGACAUGAUUUUAUUUUCAAUCACUUGUUCAUGCUUAUUUCUAGAUUAAUUAGCUUAAAUAUGCUUACUGUUGUGAGGUUUUGUUUCACUUCAAUUUUAAUUACUGAGAAUAAUGAUUCAACAGUGUAGAACUCGACUCAAUUUGUUAUGGUUUGUUUUCGUUAAAAUCUAGUUCUAGUAAUUAAGCCUUAAGAUCCCAUUUGUCCUUAGAUUUUGUUAACUAUAUGUUAUUUUGCUAUUUAUGAUCAAAGUUUAAAUGAUCCUAAUCCCAUUUUUGUGCUUGCCGGUUUAUUUGUUUAUUCUGAUAACUUGUUUGAUGGUCAUUUAAGCCAUGAUCCAUAUCCUAGCACUUUAAAUCCCUGUAGUAAAUUGAUAUGGCUGUAGAUUAGAUGUUAAUGAUUUCUUACUAUUUCAUUAUGCAUGAACCGGUUCAAAUUGAGUCCAUUGGACUCUUCCUCUCACCCUUGCAUCUUGGGUCGAGUCAAAACCCAACUUUCUUCCUUUUCGAGUCAACCAAAUCAAUUGGAAGCUGCUGUGUGGUGAUGAGGAGCUAAGUUACAGGUCUUGAAAGCAGCAAAUAAGGCUGAAAAAUUGGAUUUACAGACCCCGGAAAGUCCGAAAAGGGCUGUAUACCUGUUGUAUACAGCAGUAUACACUAGUAUACAUGGAGAAUAUUGAUAUAUAUGUCCAAAAUUUGAAAUACAGGUGCAAGAUACAGGUGCUGGAGUUUGAAGUAGGCUGUAUACGUUCGGUAUACAGCCCAAUAUACAUGAAAUGGGCCUGUAUACAACAGUAUACAUCUAAUGUAUAUCAGAUAUUUUAGAUUUAGGACAGGAUUUGGGUCUAUCAGAUUUAGGAAUUCGGGCCCAAGGGCCCAAAAUAAAUAUUUCUUCUCUCUUAUUAUAUAUAUAUAUAUAUAUAUAUAUGUUGUUUGACUAACUUUAUUUAUUCUAUGUUGAAUUUAAUUAAUUCCCAAAGUUAGCCAUUUCUCCUUAUUUUUAUAUACUCAUAUUAAAAUACUAAUAUUUUAUACUUAGCUUUAUUUUCAUAUUUUUUGUCUUGCCAUUUAAGUUAUUUCCCCCUUUAGAAAAUUCCCCUUUAGUUCAUUCCCCCUUAUGAUAAAAUAAAAAUGAUAAAAAUAAUAAUAGUAAUAAAUGAAUUAGUUAAAAUAAAUAAAUUCUUUUACUUCGUUAAACUUUCAAAAUUAGUCAAAGUCGUGAGUUCUUUACUUAGUUAAAUUUUAAAAAUAAUUAGUUAAAAUAAAUGAAUUUUUUUACUUAUUUAAAAUUUCUAAGUUAGUCAAAAUCAUUUUUAGUCAAAUCGCCGGUCAACCGUGAGUUAGCGGGUUUUCCGAGGGCCUAACACCUUCUCAGAAUGUACAUUGAACUUCGAACCCUUCUUAUUUUCAAUUGAUUUUAAUCUGUUUAAAUCUUUUGAAAACCUUGAGUUUUUUUCUUGAUUUUUACUAAAAAGGUUAAGUGGCGACUCUGUUCUUUUGGAAAUUCGAUUUCUCUUGAACCAUAAGUUUAAUCGAUUUUUCGAAAACUCAGUCAUUUUCCUUUUACAUAUAUUUUUCGAGUAAACACCCAUGCGCCAAGCAUGUUUAUUUCAGUGUAAUUUUCAUCCUAAAAGAUUGAGGAUUGGAUGUUCUUUAGUUGUGAUCUUGAAUUGAUUUCAUUCUAGAACUUGUAUGGGGAUUGAUGAGUUUCUUGAGAUGGUAUUUUUUUAAUCAAUUUUCGAGUUCUUUUGAGUUAGAUUCUUGUGUAUAGGUUUUGGGUAUCUGAAUCUAAAGAGAUAUUGAGAAAAAGAAUCGAAUUUAAUCGAAUUAAGGUCAGAAAAUGAGAAGAAAAAUUCGUCGGGUUUACCUGGGGAAGCUGGCGCGACGCACCAUUGAUACGCCAACAAGGCUAGUGUGGCGCUCCAGCAGUGUGCCAUAAAUGGGUUACAGUACUUCGGGGAUGGCACCCUGCACCAGGAAUGCGCCUGGGUUGUCUGCCCCCACCCGUUUUUCAUCGUUUAUCCCAUCUAAGUCCUUCUAAAGUGUACUAACACUUCCUAUUGAUUCUAAUUACUUUAAAUGACUUAUAAACAUCUAGAAAUCAUCCAUAAACAUGAAUCGUAACCUUGAAUCCAUAAAUUCAAAUUCAAGGAAAGUUAAGAGCCAAGUCUAGAGAGUUCUUAGAGUCCUUUCAAGUAGUUUUUUGCAAAUGUUUUAAUCUUCUUUUAAGACUUGAUUUUUGAGUUAAGUGAGAGUAAGAAAUGAAAUUCAUUUCUUCAAAAGAGUAUAUGGGGACUAUGUAUUCCCAAAGAGUAAAUGUUUUCACAUUUGAACAAGAAAGGAAACACUGAUUUCCAAAGGAGGCUUUGAGCUAGUUUUCAGUAAAGAGUAAAUGCUUUCACAAUUAAGCAAUAGAGGAAACACUGAUUUCCUAGAGAGCCUUUGGGCUAAUUUUUGAGUAAUUAUCUCAAACCAUAGAAGGAGUUAUGUUUUUAAACAUAUGAGCUAGUUAUAUUUUGGGAGUAGUAUUGAGCACCGAUAUGGGGGAGAGUUUAGACAACUCACAUCCCCCAAAAACCAUGUAGCCAUCAUGGGUAGAAAAGGAUCAUACUUUUUAGAUGAUUCCUUAGUGUUUUUUAGCAAAGACCAGUGGAUCCACUUAGUAGUUAGGUUCUGUACCCCCGGCAAGGUAUAUGACAGCCCUGGUAGCGUGAGGCAAAAUGAUGUAUCAUCACAUAGCUCUUAAGUGAUGGUUUUCGGUUAGAGAAGCUUCCACAGUUAUAUUUUAUAUUCUUAUAUACACAGAGAUUACUUGUAUUUUCAUAUACAAACAAAGUUUAUAUUGUAUCCUUGCAUACAAAUUGAGUUACCAUUGUAUUUUUUUUAUAUACACAGAGUUAUUAUCCACAUGUUUUAAAAGCUUUCCUUUAUAUUGCAUUUAUAUUUCUGCUUUAUAUUGAAAUGAGUUGAGUUGAGUUGAGUUGAGACCAGGUAUGUUCUUUUAGUUCCUUUCAAGCUUAUGUCUUGUUUUAGAAUUCCCCUCGCCUGCUCGUACAUUCAUUAUACUGAUGCUAGUUGGCCUGCAUCUUUUAUGAUGCAUAUUUAGGUAACCAGGAUCAGAAUCCAAAACAUCGUUGAUCCAGUUGAGCUCCAGAGUUGUUGGUGAGCCUCUUUGCUUCCGGAG